CCUACGGGGGGCAGCAGUGAGGAAUAUUGGUCAAUGGACGAGAGUCUGAACCGGCCAAGUAGCGUGAAGGAUGACUGCCCUAUGGGUUGUAAACUUCUUUUAUAUGGGAAUAAAAUGUUCCACGUGUGGGAUUUUGUAUGUACCAUAUGAAUAAGGAUCGUCUAACUCCGUGCCAGCAGCCGCGGUAAUACGGAGGAUCCGAGCGUUAUCCGGAUUUAUUGGGUUUAAAGGGAGCGUAGGUGGAUUGUUAAGUCAGUUGUGAAAGUUUGCGGCUCAACCGUAAAAUUGCAGUUGAAACUGGCAGUCUUGAGUACAGUAGAGGUGGGCGGAAUUCGUGGUGUAGCGGUGAAAUGCUUAGAUAUCACGAAGAACUCCGAUUGCGAAGGCAGUUCACUGGACUGCAACUGACACUGAGGCUCGAAAGUGUGGGUAUCAAACAGGAUUAGAUACCCGAGUAGUC
rnacentral:rRNA from 1 species